rnacentral:rRNA from 1 species
UACGGGGGGGGCAAGCGUUGUUCGGAAUUACUGGGCGUAAAGGGCUCGUAGGCGGCCAACUAAGUCAUACGUGAAAUCCCUCGGCUUAACCGGGGAACUGCGUCUGAUACUGGAUGGCUUGAGUUUGGGAGAGGGACGCGGAAUUCCAGGUGUAGCGGUGAAAUGCGUAGAUAUCUGGAGGAACACCGGUGGCGAAGGCGGCGUCCUGGACCAAUACUGACACUGAAACGCGAAAGCCAGGGGAGCAAACGGG